rnacentral:snRNA from 1 species
AUAGAGUAUAUAUACAAAAUAAC